GGAGUUUUUAUUGUUGACAUCAACGCGACCCUCAGCUGACCCACCACUACACUACUUUGAAUAUGCAGCCAGCACUUUCGUCAGGAAGAUUUUGAGUACUGUUUUCAGCCCAGUUUUUCCGCGGACUCAGCUGCUCAUGAGAUGAGAGCCACUAUGCAAGUCGAUUUCUGAUGGCCAUUCAGGAAGACAAACACAUGCUGUUGUGGAUCAACUUUUCAAUGAGUAUGAAUCAAAGUCCUGUUGGGAUUCUGCUGCUGAGAUGAGAGCCACUAUGCGAGUCGAUUUCUGAUGGCCCUUCAGUAAGACAAACAAACACAUGCUGUUGUGGAUCAACUUUUCAAUGAGUAUGAAUCAAGAGUCCUGUUGGGAUUCUGGUUUUGGGAAAUGUUCAUUUAUUGACAAAACAGAUGCCGUAGGGAUUCGGUCUUUGAAGUAUUCAGCCUCCGGAGUCCGCAAGGCGAACUGAAAUGAUCCAGUCUAGCCUACGGAGGGAGUUGCGUCACCAGCUGUUCCUGCCCAACACGCCUGUCAGCUGGAAUCAACAGCAGAGAUGUUUCAGACCUUCAAAAAUAUAGAUGGAGCCAGAUAUGUUUUAUUUUAUAAAAUAUGAUUUUUCAUUUGUGAAUCGAUUUAGAAUCACCCAUGUCCGCAUCUCAAUGUACUGUAGAAUCGAUAUUCCCCUGGCUGAAAAAAUAGCAUAAACCAGAAUAAUUCCCAUGCUGGUGGUGCUGGUUUAGCGGGUGGUCACCAGCAAACCAGCACCAAAACACAACAUAUGCUGUUUUUCCAGCAGGGUCCCCCACCCCUAUGUAUAUUGCACACAAAUUAAUCAUUUACUAAGUACCAGGAUUGACACAAUAUAUUUUUAUGGAAUGAGCUUAACCAAACUUUGCCAAGCUCAUGGGCCUGCUGAAAAAAAAUACCAUACCAGCAGCAUAAGUUGUGUUUUGGCUCAUUUGCAGUACGUCUCUAAGACGUUUCGUAAAAUAUGUCAUAUAGACAUACUGAAGAUGUCUGCAAGAUGUCUUUGAUUUAGAAUGUAUGUAAAACAGCCCCUUUUAAGACCUUUAUCAGAUAUUUUUACACAUCAUAUGUAUUACAGAUCUUUAGCAGACAUCUUCAGACCUCAGUACCUGUGUCAUCUGCAUUAAAAUGCAAC